UACGGGGGGGGCAAGCGUUGUUCGGAAUUACUGGGCGUAAAGGGCUCGUAGGUGGCCAACUAAGUCAGACGUGAAAUCCCUCGGCUUAACCGGGGAACUGCGUCUGAUACUGGACGGCCUGAGUUUGGGAGAGGGACGCGGAAUUCCAGGUGUAGCGGUGAAAUGCGUAGAUAUCUGGAGGAACACCGGUGGCGAAGGCGGCGUCCUGGACCAACACUGACACUGAGGAGCGAAAGCCAGGGGAGCAAACGGG
rnacentral:rRNA from 1 species